GACAGAGGGGGCAAGCGUUGCUCGGAAUUACUGGGCGUAAAGUGUGCGCAGGCGGCCGAGCAAGUCGAGUGUGAAAGCCCCGAGCUUAACUUGGGAAUUGCGCUCGAAACUACGUGGCUGGAGUGUGGCAGAGGAAGGUGGAAUUCCACGUGUAGCGGUGAAAUGCGUAGAGAUGUGGAGGAACACCAAUGGCGAAGGCAGCCUUCUGGGCCAACACUGACGCUCAUGCACGAAAGCGUGGGGAGCAAACAGGA
rnacentral:rRNA from 1 species